UACGUAGGGCGCAAGCGUUAUCCGGAAUUAUUGGGCGUAAAGAGCUCGUAGGCGGUUUGUCGCGUCUGCCGUGAAAGUCCGGGGCUCAACUCCGGAUCUGCGGUGGGUACGGGCAGACUAGAGUUCGGUAGGGGAGUCUGGAAUUCCUGGUGUAGCGGUGAAAUGCGCAGAUAUCAGGAAGAACACCCGUGGCGAAGGCGGCUUUCUGGGACGGUACUGACGCUGAGACGCGAAAGCGUGGGGAGCGAACAGG
rnacentral:rRNA from 1 species